CCUACGGGGGGCAGCAGUGAGGAAUAUUGGUCAAUGGGCGCGAGCCUGAACCAGCCAAGUCGCGUGAGGGAAGACGGUCCUAUGGAUUGUAAACCUCUUUUGUCGGGGAGCAAAAGACGCCACGCGUGGCGUUCCGAGAGUACCCGAAGAAAAAGCAUCGGCUAACUCCGUGCCAGCAGCCGCGGUAAUACGGAGGGUGCGAGCGUUAAUCGGAAUUACUGGGCGUAAAGCGCUCGUAGGCGGUAUGUCAAGUCAAGGGUGAAAUCCCCGGGGUAAACGUGGGAACUGCCUUGGAAACUGGCAGACUGGAGUGUGUGAGAGGAUGGUGGAAUUCCAGGUGUAGGGGUGAAAUGCGUAGAGAUCUGGAGGAACAUCGGUGGCGAAGGCGGCUAUCUGGCAAAUGACUGACGAUGAGGAGCGAAAGCGUGGGUAGCAAACAGGAUUAGAUACCCCGGUAGUC
rnacentral:rRNA from 1 species